UUGUGAAAUAACAGUGCAGUUCUCCUUUGGCAGAAGAUAGACAUUGCAUGCAAAGCCCGUGACCUUUAUCAUAUAGCUUCUGUUUUGCCAAAGGAGAAUUGCCCUGUAAUUCCCAC
rnacentral:pre_miRNA from 1 species